GGCAAAAUGAAACUAAUUAUGUUUGGCUUCGACGCCAUGUCUGUGCAAGUUCAAUGAACAAAUGUGAAUAGUCAACUGUUUAACGUUCUUUGUUCCAAUACUAUCCGCGUAUCUGUACUAUAAGUAUACCAGUCUACAUACAAGGUGCGCGCUUCUGCAUACAUAGACGUUCUAUAAAUUGACCUACGGUUUAGCGUUCAUGACGUUGAGUGCAUUUAUAUUACUAGUUUUUUUCCCACUAUUUCUUUACUCGCAAAAAAAUACUAGUGGCUUAAAACUUAACUCGCAAUCAGUAUUUUUCACUCGCAUUUUGCGAGUGUGCGAGUGUUAAUUUCGAGCCCUGGUCUGAUGAGGU